rnacentral:rRNA from 1 species
ACGAACGCUGGCGGCGUGCUUCACACAUGCAAGUCGCACGGAAAGGCCCUGCUUUUGUGGGGUGCUCGAGUGGCGAACGGGUGAGUAACACGUGAGUAACCUGCCCUUGACUUUGGGAUAACUUCAGGAAACUGGGGCUAAUACCGGAUAGGAGCUCCUGCUGCAUGGUGGGGGUUGGAAAGUUUCGGCGGUUGGGGAUGGACUCGCGGCUUAUCAGCUUGUUGGUGGGGUAGUGGCUUACCAAGGCUUUGACGGGUAGCCGGCCUGAGAGGGUGACCGGCCACAUUGGGACUGAGAUACGGCCCAGACUCCUACGGGAGGCAGCAGUGGGGAAUAUUGCACAGUGGGCGGAAGCCUGAUGCAGCAACGCCGCGUGCGGGAUGACGGCCUUCGGGUUGUAAACCGCUUUCGCCUGUGACGAAGCGUGAGUGACGGUAAUGGGUAAAGAAGCACCGGCUAACUACGUG